rnacentral:misc_RNA from 1 species
UCAAUAUUAUCUUCUACUUUGUCAAUAGAAACAUCAACAAUUGCCCAUUUCUCUGCACUAAGUUGCUUGCAAUAUCGGACAAAAUAUAUUUCCCUGGUGGGCACCAUAGGUGUGAGCAUUUGCACCUCUGCAAACAUCAACUGUACUGCUCCAUUUUUAUUAGGACCUUCUCCAUUGGAGAUGACAUCAACUGUAGCUGCCUUUGAGAUCAAGCAAGGAAACAUCUCUUUCCAUUGAUUCGCAUCAUUGAAAAUCUGAACUAGUCUUGGAAGAUCCACGAACGCAACUCCAGUCUCUCUGGAUGCUUCAAUAGACCUUUUUGGUCUCCCACUGCUUGGAUUUUCAACUCCAAACUCCUUCAUGUACUCAUCGUAGUUAAGAAUUUCACGACCUGUCUCAACGCUUCUAAUCCAAAGUGGCUCCCCUGCAGUAGCCAUUUUCAUCAGCUCUUCCAUUGCUUGAUUAACAAUCUCCAUAAUUCUCGAUUUCUCCAGCCCAAAAAUUCCAGUGUAAAAAUCUAAUGAACUUCUGUUCUCUUGCUCAUUUCCUGCCGAGCAAGAGGGUGCUGCACCUGAAGGAGAAUUUCCUAGAGCUGCUCGAAGUUUUUCUACCUCAGCUUUGAGUUUGGCAUUCUCAAUACGUAAUUGCUGUUCCUCAGUUGUUAAGGAAGAGUCUCUGCUGGUAGUAGCCAUGCCACAGUUGGGGCAGCAAGCUUUAUUAAUGGUCUCUCUCAUGGCCUUAUUUUCCUCUCGCAGCUUCUCCAUUUCUGUUUUCAAUAAGGAGUUCUCAUGCCUCUCUUGUAUAGCCUUAAUUUGAGUCCUGCGAUUUUGGAACCAAAACUUGACUUGUCU